rnacentral:rRNA from 1 species
UACAGAGGGUGCGAGCGUUGUUCGGAAUUACUGGGCGUAAAGCGCGCGCAGGCGGAUCCUGCAAGUCCGGAGUGAAAUCUCACCGCUCAACGGUGAGGCUGCUUUGGAUACUGCGGAUCUGGAGACCGGUAGAGGCUGGUAGAAUUGCAGGUGUAGCGGUGGAAUGCGUAGAUAUGCGGAGGAACACCGAUGGCGAAGGCAAUCCCCUGGACCUGUACUGACGCUCAUGCACGAAAGCGUGGGGAGCAAACAGG